GCGGUUUGAACAGAAGUUCGGCUGUACGGUAUAUGUGGCGGAUCGUGCCCACGGCUGUUCGCUCUUUUUUUUCAACACUAUACGGUUCAAGUUUGUGAGACGACAGCAACGGUCACGGCUUACGCCCUGUGUACUUUUUACGCACGUAAACACGCAAUUCGGUGGCCAGCUAAUACAAAGCGGCCUAUUAUAGCCACGAGGCGAUUGCAGGUUUACCGGCUUGAACGAGCAAACGCGAUACGAUGUCGAAGGACGAGCAAGAGUGCGCGAUACCGAACAUCAUACACGAUGUGAAUAGCGGCAAAAGUUACUUGAAGGGCCGUUUUUUCGGCAAGGGUGGCUUUGCAAAAUGUUACGAGAUCACAGAGUCGAAGUCGCAUCUUGUGUUUGCUGGAAAAAUUGUGCCAAAAUCAUUGAUCACCAAGAGCAAUCAGAAGGAGAAAAUGACUCAAGAAAUAGCAAUUCAUCAGACUUUGCAUCAUAGACAUAUUGUCGGCUUUCAUGGUUUCUUUGAUGAUGCUCACCAUAUCUACAUCAUCUUGGAGCUCUGCCGUAAGAGAUCAAUGAUGGAGUUGCACAAGCGCAGGAAAGCAUUAUCGGAAUGUGAAACUCGAUACUACAUGAAACAAAUCUUGGAUGGAGUAUUUUACCUGCAUCAAAAUAGAAUAAUUCACAGAGACUUGAAGUUGGGCAAUUUAUUCUUGAACGACGAUUUGCAAGUAAAGAUCGGUGAUUUUGGAUUGGCCACGAGACUGGAGCACGAUGGCGAACGUAAAAAGACUGUUUGUGGUACUCCGAACUAUAUAGCACCGGAAGUGCUGACAAAAGUUGGGCAUUCGUACGAGGCCGACGUGUGGAGUAUCGGUUGUAUAAUGUAUACUCUGCUUGCGGGCAAACCGCCGUUCGAGACGUCGAGCUUGAGAGAGACGUAUGCCAGGAUCAAGCAGGUGCAAUAUAAAACACCGACGCACAUCAGCAAGCCCGCUAUGAACAUGGUGGCGAGAAUGUUACAACUAAACCCAUCCAAACGUCCCUCCGUCGCCAAGCUAAUGAAAGACAUUUUCUUCACUGCGGGAUAUUUGCCGACGAGUUUGCCGCUUUCCUGUCUGACAAUGGCACCUCGUGUGGACAUGUUGGAGUCGCAUUGCAACCGCAAACCACUUGGCGAGAUGAACUUUAACGGAUGCUCAGAGACAGAUAUCAUCACCUUCCGGGUGCCGAGCAGCCCAUCCCGUAAGCCUGCGAAGCCUACUGACGUCAAUGAAAUGCAGAGAAUGAAUCACGAUAUCAAGAAGAUGCUGCACACGCUGAAGGAACAGUUAGCUACUGUAUUGAAGGCUAAGCCAGCCAGAGAGAUAACAUCAUUAGCAUCGUCAGCAGACGAAAUGACCGAUCCAGCGGCACAACCUGUAAUCUGGAUAAGCAAAUGGGUAGAUUACUCGGAUAAAUACGGCUUCGGGUAUCAGUUAUCCGACGAUGGAGUCGGUGUGAUGUACAACGAUGGUACGCGGCUGAUAAUGUUACCGAAUGGUUUUAACAUACACUACAUUAACCGUGAGGGCGACGAAUUGUAUUACACGGUGAGAGAAUAUCCGGCUAAUCUCGAGAAGAAGAUGAAGCUCAUGAACUUUUUCCUGAAAUACAUGAACGAGCAUCUGAUGAAGGCAGGCGACUCCAUCGCAAUGAAACAAAGCGACUCUAUAUCUAGAAUACCGUACAUGCAUCAGUGGUUCAGAACUCAAACGGCAGUCGUGAUGCAACUCACUAACGGCACUGUACAGGUUAAUUUCUUAGAUCACACGAAAAUCAUCAUGUGUCCUUUAAUGGCGGCAGUAACCUACAUCGACCAAGAAAAGAACUUCAGAACUUACAGAUUCCAGACUAUUCAGGAGAACGGCUGCUGUAAGGGACUCGCGAAGAAUCUAAUGUAUGCGUAUGAAAAGCUCGGUUUGAUGCUGACAAGUCCUCAAGUCCGAUAAAAUCGUCUCGAGGAAAACUAUAGAAAGAAUGAAAAAGAAAAAAAGAAGAGAAAGAGUGAGAGAGAGAGAGGGAGAAAGAGAGAGAGUAUGUGUGUGUGUGUGUGUGUAUGCGCGUGUGUCAGAGAAAAAGAGAGAGAGAGAGAGAGAGGGAGAAAGUAUGGUUGAGAAGGUGAAAGAACGGGAAAAGGGGAGAGAAGAAAUAACAGAUACUGCGCACUUAUCCGGCACCAAAAAGAUUUAGAAACACUAUAUAUAUAUAUAUUUAUUUUUUUAGUAGCGCUAUCUUUGUAAACGAGAAACUAAUACGGUAUUUGUACAGACGUAUAGACUUUUGCUAGACAAUCUUUUUUUCUUCUUUCGUCUUUUUCCUUUUUCUCUUUAUUAUUGUCUUUUUUUAAUCACUGAGUGCACGAGAUGUAAAAGAACGAAGCGGGUGACAAAGGCACGGUGCUCCACGAUAACAAGAAAGCAUUUCAAUUUAUCGCGAAGAGCUCAGAUUUCUUUUAUUUUGGAACAUUACUUUUGGCAUAAAUAACGAGAAAUAUAUAGCUCAGGAACAACGUACAAAAGCAACUUAAAUCAAGAUGCUGUAAAAGAGAAAAAUAUAGAGGGGUCGAGUCUGAAAGAUGAACGAUGAUCGUGUUGAAUUGUGUGACACUCAGCGAGAACGGUUCUGCCUUUCUCGCGUUAUGCCUUUCUCAAUUCGAGUGAGAAGAUCGAUCAGCUGUAGAAAACUUAAGUGCUUAUAUGUAUAAGAAUAAUGGAAUCAGUAUCAGAACUCUGCUAUGUAUGUAUAAGGGCUGAUUCCGCCCAGAAAGACGACCAUUUCGAGGACUAUACUUUUUAUUUUUAAGAGAUUAAUCGAUUAGAACGCGUAAUGUAACAGAGAUUAUAGUGCUGCGAGUGCUGAUCGUAUAUGAACGAGCAUAUACGCGCGGUGCGUUACAUUCCGCCGACAUCGUGUGAUUCUCGUAAAAUAAUCAGACUGUUACGGAACUUAACGUUGACUGCUGUAGGAUUAUACGAUUAUCGUAGUAAUGUGAAGUCAGCGCGAGAGUUUCUGCACUGUUUGCGUUUCUCGUUGGUUAUCAUCCGGUG
rnacentral:misc_RNA from 1 species